CCUACGGGUGGCAGCAGUGGGGGAUAUUGCACAAUGGGGGAAACCCUGAUGCAGCGACGCCGCGUGUGGGAAGACGGUCUUCUGGAUUGUAAACCACUGUCUCCAGGGACGAAGAUGACGGUACCUGGGGAGGAAGCUCCGGCUAACUACGUGCCAGCAGCCGCGGUAAUACGUAGGGAGCGAGCGUUGGCCGGAAUUACUGGGGGUACAGGGGGCGUAGGUGGGGAGUCAAGUUGGGUGUAAAAACUAGCGGCUCAACUGGGGGUCGCUCUGAAAACUGCAACUCUUGAGUGAAGUAGAGGCAGGCGGAAUUCCUAGUGUAGCGGUGAAAUGCGUAGAUAUUAGGAGGAACACCAGUGGCGAAGGCGGCCUGCUGGGCUUUUACUGACGCUGAGGCUCGAAAGUGUGGGGAGCAAACAGGAUUAGAUACCCCAGUAGUC
rnacentral:rRNA from 1 species